GAGACUGAGACUGACUCACUCACCUCCAUCCUCUUCAUCAAUCUUUAGAGCUUUUGAAAUAUAUUCAAAUGCCUUUCUGUGGUGUUUUUUCUGAGUAGCCAACGCAGUCAUUGACAGAUCGAUAGGCCUAAGCUAGGCCCAGCAUUCACUCUGGGAAUUCCCGAAAGGUCGCCGAGCCCGUCACGUUCAACAAAGUCUUGGACAACAGAGGGGACUCUUUGAGGACUGAAAAAUAAAAUUAAAAAA